CUGCAAGAAACAAACCGUAAGGAAGAAUAAGACAAAUUGUUGUAUAUCAAAUCCAAGAAUAAUUAUGGCAUAUACUUUUCUCCAGCCAUGGAUGAAUAUUUGUUAAAUUAUAAUCUAUUGCAAAGUUAAAUAGCAUUCUUGAGGUCAACAAUGAAACUAAGACCACAUCCAGGGAGUCGAUGUAUUUCAUUUCCAUUCUCUAACUAAAAAAAAUUAUCAGCCCAACAACAAAAUUAAUUUACUUUGCUGCUAUUCCAAUAUAUACCAUUUAAAACUUAUUUUAUAUAGAUCUUUAUUCUGUCCAUCCCAACAGGAAAUACAAGUGCAAUGCUACAUAAUUACAGAGACAAUGUUAUAAAACAGUGGAAAUAUGGGCACAAAAGAUUGAUAUUUACUUUCUCUGGCAUAACUUCUUUAUUUAACUCUUUGGAUGCAUAAGAAGAAG
rnacentral:misc_RNA from 1 species